UGGGGAAUAUUGCACAAUGGGCGCAAGCCUGAUGCAGCCAUGCCGCGUGUGUGAAGAAGGCCUUCGGGUUGUAAAGCACUUUCAGCGAGGAGGAAGGUGGUGAGCUUAAUACGCUCAUCAAUUGACGUUACUCGCAGAAGAAGCACCGGCUAACUCCGUGCCAGCAGCCGCGGUAAUACGGAGGGUGCAAGCGUUAAUCGGAAUUACUGGGCGUAAAGCGCACGCAGGCGGUUUGUUAAGUCAGAUGUGAAAUCCCCGGGCUCAACCUGGGAACUGCAUUUGAAACUGGCAAGCUAGAGUCUCGUAGAGGGGGGUAGAAUUCCAGGUGUAGCGGUGAAAUGCGUAGAGAUCUGGAGGAAUACCGGUGGCGAAGGCGGCCCCCUGGACGAAGACUGACGCUCAGGUGCGAAAGCGUGGGGCAGCAAACAGGAUUAGAUACCCCUGGUAGUCCAGCGCUGUAAACGAUGUCGAUUUUGGAGGUUGUGCCCUUGAGGCGUGGGCUUCCGGAGCUAACGCGUUAAAUCGACCGCCUGGGGAGU
rnacentral:rRNA from 1 species